UACGAAGGGGGCUAGCGUUGCUCGGAAUCACUGGGCGUAAAGCGCACGUAGGCGGCUUUCUAAGUCAGGGGUGAAAUCCUGGAGCUCAACUCCAGAACUGCCUUUGAUACUGGAGAGCUUGAGUCCGGAAGAGGCGAGUGGAACUCCUGGUGUAGCGGUGGAAUGCGCAGAUAUCAGGAAGAACACCGACGGCGAAGGCAGCUCGCUGGGACGGUACUGACGCUGAGGCGCGAAAGCGUGGGGAGCGAACAGG
rnacentral:rRNA from 1 species